UGACCACUUGACAUGUGAGAUCCUGAGGAGUUGUUCAACCUCUGUCCAUGUUCGAGGACUUGCUCUCUGUCUGCCUCCACUCUCUGCCUUCACUGUACCAAAGUUUGUCUGUUGAGUCUCCUCUAGUCUGGUUGACCACUUGACAUGUGAGAGCCUGAGGAGUUGUUUUCCAGACACAGGUAGAGCUGGCAGGGGCGUCACCCUGGGCCUGCCCUUUUGGGCUGGGCUUCAGCUGCAGAUCUAAAGGCUGCUUCCAGGGGCAUGGGGCCCUCAGCCUUUGUUUUUCUUUGCUUCUGCACCUUACAACAUACAUCACACCUUAUUUUCACACAUCCAAACACUGUUAACACCACUGACGCGUAACAUAUUUUACACAUCCCACUACGUAGUUAGAGCUAUCUUGAUUUGGAGUUAAAUAAAUUUACUUUUGGCUUGA